AGCAGAUUGGUGGGCGGGCGUAUGGCGGCCAGGCCUGGACCGCCACGAGGCCGGGUGGCGCCGGGGGGUCGCUCUUCCUGGCGUCCCAAGUCACCAAGGCUGAAAGGGGAGGUGAGGGCUCUCAGGGACCAACCCUUGUUCUCGCUGAUGGCGGUGGGCGAGCCCACCUAACAGGGAUCCGCCGCCAGGGUGAGGCGAGGAGCAGGGUUUCCAGGGCCUGGAGGUAGAGGGCCCAGACCCUGAGGAGAGGGGCUCACUGCCCCGCUGCAGAGGAGCGGCCCCAGAUGGAUAAGGAGUUGAGGUCGCGGGGGUGCUGAGCCCUGCCGAAGUGGAAGUGACUGGCUACCAGAAUCUGAAAACCCCAAAUCACUUGGAUGAGGGGGGAUCAGAGCUGAAACUCCACCACAGAUCAGCAGUGGGACCUGAGAGACUGCAGCAAUGUGGCCGAUGUUUGAAAGGCAGCUGGGUAGCCUGGCCACAGGGACCCGAUGAACAGCCUUUCUGCUCUCGAGCGUCCUUGGAGCCGUCAGCAGCGGUGUCCCCCCCUCUGAAGCCCCAGCACUACUCUGUCGGUACCACUGAACCUCCAUGAUGCCACCUCCUUGGUUUGAAACCUUCAUGCUUCAGCCCCUCCUUGAUGGUAGUCUAACCUCGCCCUCUGAAGGAAAGGUUUGCUAAGAAAACAGAAUUUUAUGCACAGUCUCGGGAGGUGAGGCGCGGUCUCCACCCUCCACCAGAACCUGCCUGUUCUUAAGGGUUUCCAUGUUGCAUGAUCUGCAGAUUAGAGUUGGGUCACGUCUAGCUUUGAAUAAAGGCCCAGCAAGUUGCCUCUUAGAAAUACCUCGUCACAGCUGACCUUAGGUUCACCACGGGGCUUCUUUAAGAUGCUCUGAUUAAUUCAUGGUGGCCACCCCAUGGCCCGUAGCCGCCUGAGACAGGAGGAUUUACUGUACCAGUUUACUGCCAGGCCAUAUCAGCUGAUAAGCAGGAAACUCUAGACCAUCUGUUUAAAAAUAAAAAUAAAAUAAACAGCAGCACAGCCCUAGAGCAAACACUUUGUACUGCUGCAUAGUAAACGAGCCUGUUGGAUGUAGUGACCUUGGCUGAGGUAGCCACGGGCUCGUCCCCCAGUCCCUGCUCGUCCGGGAUGCCGGGCUACUCAGAUCUGUGGCCGUCCGGCCCCCAAGCAGCACCCUGGAGGGCAGAGCUCCCCACCCCACGGAGCCCCGGGCAUCACUCGCGUCCUGGCUGCACCCAGGCUCCCUGCCUCCAGCUCUGGCCACGUUUGCGGGUCUCUAACUCUCUUUAGGCCACAGCGACUGUCCCCAGGCAGGAUGUCCAGCCCCAUCAGCCGAGAGCCCCCACGGUCAGUCGCGUGGACCUGUCGUGGAGGCCGGCCUAUGGGGCGGGACACAGGACCGGGGGCCGAGGAGGGCUUCCUGGGGCCGCGAAGGACGGGCCUUUUGCUUGGCUUCGCGGUGGGCUGCCAGCCCCGUUUUGAUCUGCAGCUUUUGUUCGGUACUGGGCGGGGUCUCCGUCGCCGUGGCGCUGGCUGGGCGGGGGAGGCGUCAUCACGGCUCACCCCGGGUCCCCACGCAGGACGACAUCGUCGGCGCGGCCCGCCACUCAAAUCAAGGCGGCUACAGAGCCUCCCGAGAGAAGCCUUCAGAAGUGAAAUGUCAAGGCUGCCGUCAUGCGUGAGACGGUGGCAGAGCCGCGAUCCACUUCUCUUCCUUUCCAGGGGGCCUUGAGCCUGCUGCCGAGCCCACGUUCAAAGGCUGUUUCUUCAAAGUAAACGGUGCUGCCUUCGAACUGGGAGGGGAAGCGGGCAGUUGGGAGGCAGCUUUCCACGUGCGUGUUUGAACGGGUGGGGCGUGGUCUUUGGUUCACGAUCGUGUGAGAACUUGGGCUGCGGACAGGGAGGUCCAAGUCCGUCUGGGCCCCGCGUUGGCAGGGCUGGGAGGGGGCAUCAGGCACAGCCCUGUGGGAAGUGACCGUGAAGGACCCUUCCGGAGGGCCCCCCCCAAUCCUGUUGUGCUUGGUUCAGAGGGUUGGGCGGAGGCUUUCCUGAAGGCUCUGAGGAGUGCUGCACCCACAGGCUGUGUGCUCAGGCGGCAGGACGUGGGGAGUCGGACGAGGGAAAGGCUGGCCCGGCCACGUCGCCUGCCUGCUCCCCCAUGGACGCCCCAGCGCGGUCAGCCGCCCCGUGGUGGCCAGUGGGCAUCGAGAUGAGAGCCCGCCUGCUGUUCUGCUGCCCCAGGUCUCUGGUGUCUCCCCACCGCCUGGAAUGCAAGCCGCGCCAACCUUGGCCUUGAGCACCUGCAGCUCCCCAGAGGCCCCCGACGCUCUUUAGCCCACAGCUGCCUGCAGGCCUGCACCCGACCUGUUCCUCCCCUCCUGGGGGUCUUGCUCGCUCUCACCCUGGCUGCCCACCUGGCCUGGCCAGUCCUCCCCACCCUUGGGAAGCCCCCUGACCGUCCAGCCCUCACUGGGCGUCACAGCCCCUCUCGUCUCGGUCCCUUUGUUGGACGCUUGUUUGCUGCCCACGCCUUCUACUUCUUCCAGACUGAACCCCAAGGUGACGGCCAGAUCCGCCACACGGACUGUUACGCUCUCCAGCUUCUGUCUCCACGCGUGGCACA